CCUAAUACAUGCAAGUCGAGCGAACGGACGAGAAGCUUGCUUCUCUGAUGUUAGCGGCGGACGGGUGAGUAACACGUGGAUAACCUACCUAUAAGACUGGGAUAACUUCGGGAAACCGGAGCUAAUACCGAAUAAUAUUUUGAACCGCAUGGUUCAAAAGUGAAAGACGGUCUUGCUGUCACUUAUAGAUGGAUCCGCGCUGCAUUAGCUAGUUGGUAAGGUAACGGCUUACCAAGGCAACGAUGCAUAGCCGACCUGAGAGGGUGAUCGGCCACACUGGAACUGAGACACGGUCCAGACUCCUACGGGAGGCAGCAGUAGGGAAUCUUCCGCAAUGGGCGAAAGCCUGACGGAGCAACGCCGCGUGAGUGAUGAAGGUCUUCGGAUCGUAAAACUCUGUUAUUAGGGAAGAACAUAUGUGUAAGUAACUGUGCACAUCUUGACGGUACCUAAUCAGAAAGCCACGGCUAACUACGUGCCAGCAGCCGCGGUAAUACGUAGGUGGCAAGCGUUAUCCGGAAUUAUUGGGCGUAAAGCGCGCGUAGGCGGUUUUUUAAGUCUGAUGUGAAAGCCCACGGCUCAACCGUGGAGGGUCAUUGGAAACUGGAAAACUUGAGUGCAGAAGAGGAAAGUGGAAUUCCAUGUGUAGCGGUGAAAUGCGCAGAGAUAUGGAGGAACACCAGUGGCGAAGGCGACUUUCUGGUCUGUAACUGACGCUGAUGUGCGAAAGCGUGGGGAUCAAA
rnacentral:rRNA from 1 species